UGCGUAGCCUGCCUCUUUACUUAUCCCAGGGUCACAGAGUAUGGCACUGUCCCCGUAUCAGGGCAAGUGGAGUUCUAGAUGUUCAGACUAGGAAGUUCUCUUUAUGCUGUGACAGAGCGGAACUGCAGUAGAGUGCCAAGACUGCCCAGGGGUAGUGUGUCCAUGAUGGUCUUUGGAGUCUGUUUAGUGGUAUAUCUGGGAGUUAUGUGUGAGGGAACCGGAUGGAUCCAGAUGCUGGGGCCUGGGACUUUCAGUUUUUGGGAGAGUCCGUGGCUUAGCUGUGUGAGAACGGCCUCGCCCCUACAGUAGCUGUAACCACCUUCUGCUAGAGCAGCAUAGGCAAGGGGCUCUUAUCAGAUGGGGGUGUGAAGACAAUUCUGAGAGCUCUCAGAAUUUCAAAGAAGGCACUUUGCAGAAACUCUUCAAGAUCAAGGACCCAUUCUUCAUUUAAAAAAAAAGAAGAAGAAGAAGAAGAAGAAGAAAUUCCGUGUAAAUCCAGUAAACAUCAGAAAAUGCCAGACACAGAAUGGAAAUGAACUCUUGCUAUGACUUGAAUAUGGAAUAUUUUCCACAGGCUCAUAUGUUCAAACACUUGGUCUCCAACUGACAGCAGGGACCCUCACUGAUGGAUGGAGGAUACUGUAGACAGGCAUCUGAGGGAUGCAGUGUGGACCUUCUUCUGACCUAGUUCUCUACUUCCUGGCUGGUCAAGAUUCGAGCAGGCUCAUCCGUGAACAGGGCCAUGCCAGCCCAUCUUCCCUGCCUGAUGC
rnacentral:lncRNA from 1 species